AACGAACGCUGGCGGCAUGCCUAACACAUGCAAGUCGAACGAUGCCUUCGGGCAUAGUGGCGCACGGGUGCGUAACGCGUGGGAAUCUGCCCUUGGGUUCGGAAUAACUCAGAGAAAUUUGAGCUAAUACCGGAUGAUGACGUAAGUCCAAAGAUUUAUCGCCCAAGGAUGAGCCCGCGUAAGAUUAGCUAGUUGGUGGGGUAAAGGCCUACCAAGGCCACGAUCUUUAGCUGGUCUGAGAGGAUGAUCAGCCACACUGGGACUGAGACACGGCCCAGACUCCUACGGGAGGCAGCAGUGGGGAAUAUUGGACAAUGGGCGAAAGCCUGAUCCAGCAAUGCCGCGUGAGUGAUGAAGGCCUUAGGGUUGUAAAGCUCUUUUACCAGGGAUGAUAAUGACAGUACCUGGAGAAUAAGCUCCGGCUAACUCCGUGCCAGCAGCCGCGGUAAU
rnacentral:rRNA from 1 species